ACAGUUCUCUGUUUGCAUUUACUUGCCAGAACAUCUGUUGGAAUCUACUUCUGCAGAAGACCAGGUGAAACAACUAGCCUCAAAGGACUGAGUAACUACUAGACUAUUGGAUUUCCCAUCCACAGCUGCCCAUUAGUUGGACUACAGACUGAGGUACCGUGAUUGGAGAAACUCCCCGAGGACUAAGAGAACAGCUUCUUCACUUGUUCAUUGAACAGGAAGAGAAGAUGUUGGAACAGAAAGUUUUAAACAAAUACUACCCACCUGACUUUGACUCAGCGAAGAUCCUGAAACUCAAGCUACCAAAGGACCGGCAGUAUGUGGUGCAGCUGAUGGCCCUCUUCAACAUGAGGUUUAAGACAUGUGGAGAAUACAUCCACAAGGGGAAGAAGUUCAACACGCAAAAGGAAACAGUCCAGAGCGAGGCAUAACUGGGCCUGCCAAUCUUCCGAUUCUACAUCAAGUGCACAUGCUGCUUGGCCGAGAUCAUCUUCAAGACAGACCAGAGAACACGGACUACACCUUAGAGCACGGGGCCACGCGCAACGGCCGGGAAGCUUCUGGAAGAGGAGGAGAAGCGCGUGCAGAAGGAGUGAGAGGAUGAGGAACUGAACAACCCCAUGAAGGGGAGGAAGAAAAGCAGGAGACAGCGACCUUGCUGGAGGAGGCUUGUCAUUGAAGGCUUCCGGAGGACUCUGACUCAGAGGAUGAGGCUCCACCUUCCCGACCACAGGCAGCUGUAAGACCCAACCCCACAGCCAUCCUCGACAAGGUACCAAAGACCAAGAGGAAAAACAGAGGCCCUGUGCAGCAAAGCACAGUUGGCAGGCUUGGUUGUACCAAAGAAGGUAAUGACGGAGGCCAGCAGGGGCUCAGAGCAAGCAGGUCCGGGUGCCAGCCGCUGGUGCCCCCAAGAGCAGAAACGUGGCCAACCCUACACCCCAGACACCUGGUGCCUCCUCUCUGAGCUAGCUGGGUGCAUAUGGGCACAUCGAGGACAGAGAGACAGCUGAGCACCACUGAUGCUCACCCUAGCAUCAUAGACCCAAGAAAUGAGGAAAUGGGAUCAAGGAAACACCUUCAGCAAAGGCCUCUGGACCAUUUCUGCCAUGGGUCCUGACAAGGUGUGGAGAAGCAAUGUACCCAGGCACCCCAGGACAGAAAGCCUGGUCCACUCCUUCAGGCCUUGAGUUGUGUGGAGCCUGUUGGCUGGUCCCUUCCUGCCACAGAUCUAAACACUGACAUGGAACAGGGGACAGUGACAAUGGGCACCAUCUCCCAACCAUACACAAGGUCUGGGGCUUCACCUGCAUGCAAGACAGUAGUACUGUAAAAAAAAAACCAAGAAUAGAAAAUGAUUUGAAAAGCAAACAACAAAAAAGCAGUUACCCAUUAUGCCUAAGCCAUGUUGGGUGCCACCUGUAGGCAUGAAUUUUUUGCAACCUAAUUUUGAUAGGGUUCAACCUCUUCUCUAGCCCACCACCCAGCAAGAGGUAGUGGAAGACAAAAGUUAUUAGAAUAGGGGGAAGUGGACCUGUUCAGCAAUAGUUCUUUGGGGACAAGCUUGGUCUUCUUGGGCAGCAUUUCAGUCCUGUAGCAAACAUCAUGACUCAGCAGCGGCAGACCCGUCCUCUAGGCAGGCAGAUGCCAGGCAGCUGUAGUUCAAUCCUGAAGAAACUGCCAGGCUCUUCAUCUGGCUUUAGGAGAGGCCACAGAGGCGGCGAGGAACCUCAUGAGCCAUUCUUGGGUGAGUUUCUCUCAAUGGCAGCGUUAUCACCAGCUCAGCUCAACAGCACUGUGUAAGGUGACACCAAUGCAUUCGUGUCUUGAGCGAAGAAAGCAAACCAAACCAAGGCUCACUGCUCAUCUCCCACUGGUCUGUGGGGGCAUAUUUAUACUCCUUCAUCAAGUGUCCUUUCACGUGUUUGCCUUAGCAAGACGUCCUUUCACCUGUGUGCCCCAGCAAAACAUCGUUUGACAUAACUAACUCUCCAAAGAACUAGAGGAUUCCAGUUUAUGUGGGUAUGGGGUUGGGGAUUGGGAGGGGCUAGUUAGUGAGUGUCAUCAGAGUGAAGUUGCCCCAUCUUUGAGGACUUUUACAAGUCAAACAAGAUAAAAGGGAUAGUGUUGAUAGGUUGGAAUGGUACCUGAUAUAUGGUACUAUGAAGUAAGUAGUACUUAUUUUAUUUUGUCAUUAUCAUUGGUGGCACAGCUAUCUAUCUUGUAGUAUCAUUGUGAGCAGAGUAUUAAAUGAAAUGAAAUAACAAAGUUCCUAGCAGAUACCCUGAGACACAAGACUCAGCUGGAAUUAAUUCCUGUCCUCCUUCUGAGGGUUCCUUCCCAAUCCAGUCCACUCCGUGAAGCUUUCCCCUGCUUUCAUGCCCCCUGGCUCACAACAUGGAGACACUUUUGUUAUUUUGGGACCUCAUGGGUGAAGCAUGACUACCAAGGAUACAGGUUGUUGUGGGAGACCUGACUUCUUCCCACUGAGUUUCAGGGAAGCAAGUAAGCUUGCCUAGAGGUAGCAUCCCAGACAACAGAUGCUGAAGUUGAGCUCUCUGUGCUCCUUUAGUUAAGAAUAGCCCCAUGUGCUUGUAUGGAUGAAUAUUUGGUCCCAAAUUAGUGAACUAUUUUGGGAGAGGAGAUGUCGCCUUGUUGAAGGAGGUGUGUCAAUGGGAGUAGGCUUUGGAGUUUCAAAAACCCAUGCCUAGUACUACCUGAGGAUCCAGAUAUACCACUCUCCUGGGCAUUAUACCCAGAAGAUGUUCCAUCAUGUAAUAAGAACACAUGCUCCACUAUGUUCAUAGCAGCCUUAUUUAUAAUAGCUAGAAGCUGGAAAGAACCCAGAUGUCCCUCAAUAAAGGAAUGGUUACCGACAAUGUGAUACAUUUACACAAUGGAGUACUACUCAGCUAUUAAAAACAAUGAAUUUAUGAAGUUCUUAGACAAAUAGAACUAGAAAAUCCUG
ensembl:lincRNA Gm7598 predicted gene 7598